rnacentral:rRNA from 1 species
AAAUUGAAGAGUUUGAUCAUGGCUCAGAUUGAACGCUGGCGGCAGGCCUAACACAUGCAAGUCGAACGGUAACAGGAAGCAGCUUGCUGCUUCGCUGACGAGUGGCGGACGGGUGAGUAAUGUCUGGGAAACUGCCUGAUGGAGGGGGAUAACUACUGGAAACGGUGGCUAAUACCGCAUAACGUCGCAGGACCAAAGAGGGGGACCUUCGGGCCUCUUGCCAUCAGAUGUGCCCAGAUGGGAUUAGCUUGUUGGUGAGGUAACGGCUCACCAAGGCGACGAUCCCUAGCUGGUCUGAGAGGAUGACCAGCCACACUGGAACUGAGACACGGUCCAGACUCCUACGGGAGGCAGCAGUGGGGAAUAUUGCACAAUGGGCGCAAGCCUGAUGCAGCCAUGCCGCGUGUAUGAAGAAGGCCUUCGGGUUGUAAAGUACUUUCAGCGGGGAGGAAGG